rnacentral:rRNA from 1 species
GAACACGUGAAGAAUCUGCCCUCCACUUUGGGAUAACACCGGGAAACCGGUGCUAAUACCGAAUAUUGAAACAUAAGUGGCAUCACUGAGUUUUGAAAGAAUUUCGGUGGAGGAUGACUUCGCGGCCUAUCAGCUAGUUGGUGAGGUAAUGGCUCACCAAGGCAACGACGGGUAGCCGGCCUGAGAGGGCGACCGGCCACACUGGGACUGAGACACGGCCCAAACUCCUACGGGAGGCAGCAGUGGGGAAUAUUGGGCAAUGGAGGAAACUCUGACCCAGCGACGCCGCGUGCGGGAUGAAGGCCUUCGGGUUGUAAACCGCUUUCAGUAGGGAAGAAGCGAAAGUGACGGUACCUACAAAAGAAGCACCGGCUAACUAUGUGCCAGCAGCCGCGGUAAUACAUAGGGUGCAAGCGUUGUCCGGAAUUAUUGGGCGUAAAGAGCUCGUAGGUCGUUUGUUACGUCGGAUGUGAAAACCUGAGGCUCAACCUCAGGCCUGCAUUCGAUACGGGCAAACUAGAGUUUGGUAGGGGAGACUGGAAUUCCUGGUGUACCGGUGGAAUGCGCAGAUAACAGGAGGAACACCAAUGGCGAAGGCAGGUCUCUGGGCCAAUACUGACACUGAGGAGCGAAA